rnacentral:rRNA from 1 species
UACGAAGGGGGCUAGCGUUGUUCGGAAUUACUGGGCGUAAAGCGCGCGCAGGCGGUCUUCCAAGUCAGUGGUGAAAGCCUGGAGCUCAACUCCAGAACUGCCAUUGAAACUGUUAGACUUGAGUACGAGAGAGGUGAGUGGAAUUCCCAGUGUAGAGGUGAAAUUCGUAGAUAUUGGGAAGAACACCAGUGGCGAAGGCGGCUAUCUGGACCGUAACUGACGCUGAGGCGCGAAAGCGUGGGGAGCAAACAGG